AACAUCUUCUUACCAAAAAGUGCAAAGCUAGGGAGAUACGUUCUGCGCAUGCGCAGCCCUAUCUCCUUAAAUACGCAUAAUUUGUUAAAAGGAUAUUAAGCAAAGUUGUAGCCCCCAUCAUGACGAACAACUUUUGUUAACAUCUUCUUACCAAAAAGUGCAAAGGUAAGGAGAUACGUUCUGCGCAUGCGCAGCCCUAUCUCCUUAAAUACGCAUAAUUUGUUAAAAGGAUAUU
rnacentral:miRNA from 1 species